rnacentral:rRNA from 1 species
ACUCAAAGGAAUUGACGGGGUCCCGCACAAGCAGCGGAGCAUGCGGCUUAAUUCGAUGCAACGCGAAGAACCUUACCUAGGCUUGACAUGCAUUGAAAACUGUUAGAGAUAACAGGUCCGCAAGGGCUUUGCACAGGUGGUGCAUGGCUGUCGUCAGCUCGUGUCGUGAGAUGUUGGGUUAAGUCCCGCAACGAGCGCAACCCUCGUCUUGUGUUGCCAACAGGUAAUGCUGGGAACUCACAAGAGACUGCCGGGGUCAACUCGGAGGAAGGUGGGGACGACGUCAAGUCAUCAUGCCCCUUAUGUCUAGGGCUGCACGCAUGCUACAAUGGCCGAUACAAAGGGCUGCGAUACCGCAAGGUGGAGCGAAUCCCAUAAAGUCGGUCUCAGUUCGGAUUGAGGUCUGCAACUCGACCUCAUGAAGUUGGAGUUGCUAGUAAUCGCGGAUCAGCAACGCCGCGGUGAAUACGUUCCCGGGCCUUGUACACACCGCCCGUCACGUCACGAAAGUC